AUUGAACGCUGGCGGCAUGCUUUACACAUGCAAGUCGGACGAGUGGCGAACGGGUGAGUAAUAUAUUGGAACGUACCGAGUAAUGGGGGAUAACUACUGGAAACGGUAGCUAAUACCGCAUACCAUCAGAUGUGCCCAGAUGGGUUUAGCGAGUAGGUGGGGUAACGGCUCACCUAGGCGACGAUCCCUAGCUGGUCUGAGAGGAUGACCAGCCACACUGGAACUGAGACACGGUCCAGACUCCUACGAGAGGCAGCAGUGGGGAAUAUUGCACAAUGGGCGCAAGCCUGAUGCAGCCAGGCCGCGUGUGUGAAGAAGGCCUUCGGGUUGUAAAGCACUUUCAGCGGGGAGGCGUUACCCGCAGAAGAAGCACCGGCUAACUCCGUGCCAGCCGCCGCGAUAAUUC
rnacentral:rRNA from 1 species